rnacentral:rRNA from 1 species
UACGUAGGGUGCGAGCGUUGUCCGGAAUUACUGGGCGUAAAGAGCUCGUAGGUGGUUUGUCGCGUUGUUCGUGAAAACUCACAGCUCAACUGUGGGCGUGCGGGCGAUACGGGGCAGACUGGAGUACUGCAGGGGAGACUGGAAAUUCCUGGUGUAGCGGUGGAAUGCGCAGAUAUCAGGAGGAACACCGGUGGCGAAGGCGGGUCUCUGGGCAGUA